UGGGCGCAGCCUGAUCAGCAUGCCGCGUGGGUGAAGAAGGCCUGCGGGUUGUAAAGCACUUUCGGCUGGGAAGAACAGGCUUGGGGCGAAUACCCCUGAGCAAUGACGGUACCAGCAGAAGAAGCACCGGCUAACUCCGUGCCAGCAGCCGCGGUAAUGCGGAGGGUGCGAGCGUUAAUCGGAAUUACUGGGCGUAAAGCGUGCGUAGGCGGUUAUUUAAGUCAGAUGUGAAAGCCCCGGGCUUAACCUGGGAACGG
rnacentral:rRNA from 1 species